GGUCUGGUGGUGUAGUUGGUUAUCACGUCAGUCUAACAGUCUGUGCUCCCGUAAGCUGUACACUGAAGGUCUCCGGUUCAAGUCCGGGCUAGAUCA
rnacentral:tRNA from 1 species